GGAAGCCCCUCGCGUGGCGAUAUGUCGCUCAACUCCCCCAGGGCCGGAAGGCAGCAAGGGUCGGCGGUCUCUGUCGGGUACGCGAGGGGUCCUAUCU
rnacentral:SRP_RNA from 1 species